rnacentral:rRNA from 1 species
AGCAGCCGCGGUAAUUCCAGCUCCAAUAGCGUAUAUUAAAGUUGUUGCAGUUAAAAAGCUCGUAGUUGAAUUUCGGGAUUAAUAAGUUGGUCGUGCCUCUGGUAUGUACUGGCUUUACUGGUUCCUCCUUCUUGAAGAACUGUGAUGUUAUUAAUUUGGUGUUGCAGGGAAACAGGACUGUUACUUUGAAAAAAUUAGAGUGUUUAAAGCAGGCUAACGUUUGAAUACAUUAGCAUGGAAUAAUGAAAUAGGACGUUUGAUCCUAUUUUGUUGGUUUCUAGGAUUGACGUAAUGAUUAAUAGGGAUAGUUGGGGGCAUUAGUAUUCAAUUGUCAGAGGUGAAAUUCUUGGAUUUAUUGAAGACUAACUACUGCGAAAGCAUUUGCCAAGGAUGUUUUCAUUAAUCAAGAACGAAAGUUAGGGGAUCGAAGACGAUCAGAUACCGUCGUAGUCUUAACCAUAAACUAUGCCGACUAGAGAUCGGAUGAUGUUAAUUUUUUAAUGUACUCAUUCGGCGCCUU